UACGUAGGGUGCAGGCGUUAAUCGGAAUUACUGGGCGUAAAGCGUGCGCAGGCGGUUUGCUAAGACAGGUGUGAAAUCUCCCGGCUUAACUGGGAGGGUGCGCGGGAAACUGGAGGGCUCGAGUAUGGGAGAGGAAAGCGGAAUUCCUGGUGUAGCGGUGAAAUUCGUAGAUAUCGGGAGGAACACCAGUGGCGAAGGCGGAGACCUGGGAGAUAUUGACGCUGAGGUGCGAAAGCGUGGGGAGCAAACAGG
rnacentral:rRNA from 1 species